rnacentral:rRNA from 1 species
GAUGAACGCUAGCGGCAGGCUUAAUACAUGCAAGUCGAGGGGUAACAGGUCUGUAGCAAUACAGAUGCUGACGACCGGCAAACGGGUGCGAAACACGUACAGAACCUUCCUUCGAGUGGGAGAUAGCCCAGGGAAACUUGGAGUAAUAUCCCAUAGGAUCAUAGAGUGGCAUCACUUAGUGAUUAAAGAUUUAUCGCUUGAAGAUGGCUGUGCGGCUGAUUAGGUAGUUGGUGUAGGUAACGGCUCACCAAGCCUUCGAUCAGUAACUGGUGUGAGAGCACGACCAGUCACACGGGCACUGAGACACGGCCCAGACUCCUACGGGAGGCAGCAGUGGGGAAUCUUGCGCAAUGCGCGAAAGCGUGACGCAGCAACGCCGCGUGAGGGAAGAAGGCCUUCGGGUUGUAAACCUCUUUCAGGAGGGACGAAGGUUCAGGCGCGAAUAGCGUCCUGAACUGACGGUACCUCCAGAAGAAGCCCCGGCUAACUACGUGCCAGCAGCCGCAGUAACAC